UACGUAGGGUGCAAGCGUUUGUCCGGAAUUAUUGGGCGUAAAGAGCUCGUAGGCGGUUUGUUGCGUCGGCUGUGAAAUCCCGAGGCUCAACCUCGGGUCUGCAGUCGAUACGAGCAAACUAGAGUGUUGCAGGGGAGACUGGAAUUCCUGGUGUAGCGGUGAAAUGCGCAGAUAUCAGGAGGAACACCGGUGGCGAAGGCGGGUCUCUGGGCAACAACUGACGCUGGAGGAGCGAAAAGCGUUGGGGGAGCGAAACAGG
rnacentral:rRNA from 1 species